rfam:Biomphalaria glabrata isolate BB02 linkage group LG40i unlocalized genomic scaffold LG40i_random_Scaffold1050, whole genome shotgun sequence.
GGCACGGUGGCUGAGCGGUAAAGCGCUUGGCUUCCGAACCGGUGGUUCCAAGUUCGAAUCCUGGUCAAGACU